AUUCUGACUAGUCAAUUGCCGUCAUGUGUCUAGUUAUUAUUAGCUUCUAACUAUUCACACAGAUAGUAGAGACGUGGCAUGAUUAGGUGGUAGAUAUGUUGAAAGGUUCAAAUGAUGAUCAGUCCAGAUGUUGCCACGCAUCAAGAUUUGGGAUAAUUUCAUUUUUAACGAGUUCAUCCUGACUCUUGGUGAGUUCUAUAUAUACAAAAUCAUUUUCUUCCCUUU
rnacentral:lncRNA from 1 species